rnacentral:pre_miRNA from 13 species
UCAUCCAGUUCAAGUAAUCCAGGAUAGGCUGUGUGUAUGCCGGUUGGCCUGUUCGUGAUUACUUGCACUGGACG